rnacentral:lncRNA from 1 species
GGUUUGUUUAGAUCAUGGAUACCCAAACCCGGCCCUGAAGGGCUGGUAAAGUUGGUUUUAUGUUCGCACAUUUGUUCAGUGUCAACUUGUGAUAUGUUCCCUAUAUUGUUUACCAUGGUACUUUAAAUAUUCGGUCAGAAAUCACAUGUAAAUAUGACAUCAAAACAACAUUAACAUCAUUUAUUUGACUGUAAACAAUGUUGAACUUUGAUAGUCAUUGGCUGAUAAUAUGAUUUCACUAUUUAAAAUGUGAAAAUAAUAUUUUUGUGAAGUUUUAUUAUUUAGGAGAAAACUAACUUUAUACCUUAAUGCCCCCCAGGACCGAGUUUGGGCACCCCUGGUUUAGAUGAUUCGUAUUGUGUUCAUAUAUUUUAGUCCAACCACAUCCGAACACUUUCUCAGUGCUCUCAGUUCACUACCAUGGUUCGGAUAAGCAUUCACACUUCUUCAAAUGAACUAACAGAGCAAUAGCUGUUUAAAUUUAUCAAGAAAGCUUUUUUGAGUUUGCAUUAAUCCCUUGUUUUAGGAUUAGACUUCAAAACUAAUAUACAAAUACAUCUGCAAAGUUUUUAAUUGGUUAUCCGUAGAAACCACAAUCUUGCUGCUGGGCUUUAUAUCAGAACAGGUGCAAUUAAACCCAACACUGGUAAAAGACAUCUAAUAAUCUCUUCUUUUUUCAUCCAAUGCUAUUUUCUCCCUUGAUUAAUAAUUAUCAAUUUGAGCCUCAUCUCAUAAACAGAUGGCACAGCUUGAAGAGCAGAAUUAAACGGCCAGCUAGUAUCUCCAAGAUGCUCGAGUAAAUCCAAAUCCCAAGACAACAGCAGAUGCACUUAUCAUGCGAUGGCAAGCAUGAA